rnacentral:rRNA from 1 species
AUCUAGAUUCCUACGGGAGGCAGCAGUGGGGAAUAUUGCACAAUGGGCGAAAGCCUGAUGCAGCAACGCCGCGUGAGCGAUGAAGGCCUUCGGGUCGUAAAGCUCUGUCCUCAAGGAAGAUAAUGACGGUACUUGAGGAGGAAGCCCCGGCUAACUACGUGCCAGCAGCCGCGGUAAUAA